ensembl:lncRNA
GCUGUCUCAAGCAGAACGUAGGUUGCCAGCUUGGAACCACGAUUUAACUAAGAGAUCGCAAGGACAACAGCAAAGAAAGACAUGGAGGAUACUUUGAAAAUAUUGAGUGGUGUAAGAAAGGCAACAUCAUGCUACAGAAACUGACAAAAUCUUAUUUCAGCAUUUGCCUUCAGUGUGUAUUGGACCUCCUUGGAACCCAAUUGAGGAAUUUUCUCUGUACCAAAUAGCAGAGGAGACAAUCAACAAGCAACUUGGGAACUCCACCCAUGAUGGGAAUGUAACUCCAGGAAGAGCCUUUGUGGAGGCAAUCAAGUUAGAAUGACGUCAUUUAUGCCUUCCCCUAAUAUGAUCGGUUGGCCUUAGGAAAGGCAAAUUGAGACAGAUAGACCUGCAGUGAGGGAGAUCUGUGGGAACAAACAGGAAAGAUCCUAUGUGAAGAUGAAGAGAGAUCUAUUUAUAAACCAAGUAAGGCUGAGGUCUGCAGUCUCCACCAGAACCUGAGAGACAG